rnacentral:rRNA from 1 species
CACGGGGGGAGCAAGCGUUGUCCGGAAUCAUUGGGCGUAAAGAGCGUGUAGGCGGCCAGAUAAGUCCGCUGUGAAAUCUCGAGGCUCAACUUCGAGCUGUCGGUGGAAACUGUCUGGCUAGAGUCCGGAAGAGGAGAAUGGAAUUCCUGGUGUAGCGGUGAAAUGCGCAGAUAUCAGGAAGAACACCCGUGGCGAAGGCGGUUCUCUGGGACGGUACUGACGCUGAGACGCGAAAGCGUGGGGAGCGAACAGG